rnacentral:rRNA from 1 species
CUACGGGCGGCUGCAGUGAGGAAUAUUGCACAAUGGGGGAAACCCUGAUGCAGCAACGCCGCGUGGAGGAUGACGCAUUUCGGUGUGUAAACUCCUUUUAUCAGAGAAGAAAAUGACGGUAUCUGAUGAAUAAGCUCCGGCUAACUCCGUGCCAGCAGCCGCGGUAAUACGGAGGGAGCAAGCGUUAUUCGGAAUCACUGGGCGUAAAGGACGCGUAGGCGGGUUUUUAAGUCAGGUGUGAAAUCCUACAGCUCAACUGUAGAACUGCACUUGAAACUGGGAACCUAGAGUAUGGAAGGGGCAGGUGGAAUUAGUGGUGUAGGGGUAAAAUCCGUAGAUAUCACUAGGAAUACCGAAAGCGAAGGCGACCUGCUGGGACAUAACUGACGCUGAGGCGUGAAAGCGUGGGGAGCAAACAGGAUUAGAUACCCUCGUAGUC